rnacentral:rRNA from 1 species
UACGUAGGGUGCAAGCGUUGUCCGGAAUUAUUGGGCGUAAAGAGCAUGUAGGUGGAUCAAUUAGUCUGCUGUGAAAGUCAAAGGCUCAACCUUUGAAAGCCGGUGGAUACUGUUGAUCUAGAGUACGGAAGAGGCGAGUGGAAUUCCUGGUGUAGCGGUGGAAUGCGCAGAUACUCAGGGAGGAACACCAUGGCGGAAGGCAGCUGCGCUGGGACGUACU